rnacentral:lncRNA from 10 species
CUCGGACCCCGCCCUCCGCCUUCCCCGGGAUUCCGUGCUGUGCGGGCCGGGCGCUGGCGUUGGAUUGAGUUCUGUGAGUUGACUGGGCAUUCUGCAUCACAAGGUGUGGCUGGGCACUGGAACAGCCGAAGUCACCUGGGAGCUGACUGGGUUGGACUGUCCAGGAUGGUUCACUCCUACGACAGUGGAUGCUCAACUGGGGCUGUCAACUGGAGCCCCCAUAGUGCCUUUGUGAACAUGGGGGUCCCCAAGUUUUCAGCGGGUGAAGCCAGCAGGCAACAGCUCACACUGGCAUUUUGUCAGUCGGGCACCUUUAUCUUGGCAUUUGGGCUUCCAUCCAGGCUGCCUCAGCUCUUUUGAAUGAACAUGGCCUGCAAAUAGUUCAUCCACAGAGCUGGCUUGGCAGGCGAAGGCUUCUCAGCCCAAGCAGGGGGCUCGAUCUGCCUGCUCUCCUUUCUGUGGCCUCGGAUCCAGCCCUCACUUCUUACCUCCACCAGAUUUGGAGUUUUCAGAGCUAACUGAGGCUUCGGGAAAAGUUCUGUGUUUGGACAAAGCUUUGCAAUAAGGCAGAUCUGGGUUUGAAUCAUCAAUUUAUUUAAUCCUGAAAACCUCAAUUUUAUCUGUAAAAUAAAGAUGAUAAUCAUAACCUAGCUCAC